GCCGGUAACACCCGAAGCCCGUGAGGUAACCGUAAGGAGCCAGCGGUCGAAGGUGGGGGAUUGGUGAUUGGGGUGAAGUCGUAACAAGGUAGCCGUAGGAGAACCUGCGGCUGGAUCACCUCCUUUCUAGGGAGA
rnacentral:rRNA from 1 species